UACAGAGGUCCCAAGCGUUGUUCGGAUUCAUUGGGCGUAAAGGGUGCGUAGGCGGCGCGGUAAGUCGGGUGUGAAAGCCCCGGGCUCAACCUGGGAAUUGCAUUCGAGACUGAAUAGCUAGGGUACGGUAGAGGGAAGCGGAAUUUCCGGUGUAGCGGUGAAAUGCGUAGAUAUCGGAAGGAAGACCAGUGGCGAAGGCGGGUCUCUGGACAGUUCCUGACGCUGAGGCACGAAGGUCAGGGGAGCAAACGGGG
rnacentral:rRNA from 1 species